GGUAUGGGAUGAGCUUGCGUCCGAUUAGCUAGUUGGCGGGGCAACGGCCCACCAAGGCGACGAUCGGUAGCCGGCCUGAGAGGGUGAUCGGCCACAUUGGGACUGAGAUACGGCCCAGACUCCUACGGGAGGCAGCAGUAGGGAAUAUUGCACAAUGGGGGGAACCCUGAUGCAGCAACGCCACGUGUGGGAAGAAGCAUUUCGGUGUGUAAACCACUGUCAUGAGGGAAUAAGGCCCGCCUUCGGACGGGAUUGAAUGUACCUUGAGAGGAAGCACCGGCAAACUUCGUGCCAGCAGCCGCGGUAAUACGAGGGGUGCAAGCGUUGUUCGGAAUUACUGGGCGUAAAGGGAGCGUAGGCGGAGAUUCAAGCGGAUUGUACAAUCCCGGGGCCCAACCCCGGCUCUGCAGUCCGAACUGGAUCUCUUGGAUAGUUCAGGGGCAGGC
rnacentral:rRNA from 1 species